GCCCAUUGAUUGAUGGUGCUUGCACCUGAUUGAUUUUGGUCGCCAACGAGUGGCGGACGGGUGAGUAACACGUAGGUAACCUGCCCAGAAGCGGGGGACAACAUUUGGAAACAGAUGCUAAUACCGCAUAACAACGUUGUUCGCAUGAACAACGCUUAAAAGAUGGCUUCUCGCUAUCACUUCUGGAUGGACCUGCGGUGCAUUAGCUUGUUGGUGGGGUAAUGGCCUACCAAGGCGAUGAUGCAUAGCCGAGUUGAGAGACUGAUCGGCCACAAUGGGACUGAGACACGGCCCAUACUCCUACGGGAGGCAGCAGUAGGGAAUCUUCCACAAUGGGCGCAAGCCUGAUGGAGCAACACCGCGUGAGUGAAGAAGGGUUUCGGCUCGUAAAGCUCUGUUGUUAAAGAAGAACACGUAUGAGAGUAACUGUUCAUACGUUGACGGUAUUUAACCAGAAAGUCACGGCUAACUACGUGCCAGCAGCCGCGGUAAUACGUAGGUGGCAAGCGUUAUCCGGAUUUAUUGGGCGUAAAGAGAGUGCAGGCGGUUUUCUAAGUCUGAUGUGAAAGCCUUCGGCUUAACCGGAGAAGUGCAUCGGAAACUGGAUAACUUGAGUGCAGAAGAGGGUAGUGGAACUCCAUGUGUAGCGGUGGAAUGCGUAGAUAUAUGGAAGAACACCAGUGGCGAAGGCGGCUACCUGGUCUGCAACUGACGCUGAGACUCGAAAGCAUGGGUAGCGAACAGGAUUAGAUACCCUGGUAGUCCAUGCCGUAAACGAUGAGUGCUAGGUGUUGGAGGGUUUCCGCCCUUCAGUGCCGGAGCUAACGCAUUAAGCACUCCGCCUGGGGAGUACGACCGCAA
rnacentral:rRNA from 2 species